rnacentral:rRNA from 1 species
UACAGAGGGGGCGAAGCGUUGUUUCGGAAUUACUGGGCGUAAAGGGCGCGUAGGCGGCCUGCUAAGUCGAACGUGAAAUCCCUGGGCUUAACCCAGGAACUGCGUCCGAUACUGGCAGGCUUGAAUCCGGGAGAGGGAUGCGGAAUUCCAGGUGUAGCGGUGAAAUGCGUAGAUAUCUGGAGGAACACCGGUGGCGAAGGCGGCAUCCUGGACCGGCAUUGACGCUGAGGCGCGAAAGCCAGGGGAGCAAACGGG